AACAGACUUCGCAAAACUCACUCUCACUAGCAAAACCCUUCCCUUGGUCUCUCUUAUGCUUCAAUUUGUUCAUGCUUUAAUUUAUUUAUGUUUUAAUUUAAUAUUUCUCAUCAGUAUUCUUUUUCUAGCGAGUCUAGUUUGACUAUGCCAUGUUCUAAUUUAGGAUUAUUUUUAUUUAUGCUUUAAUUUAUUUAUUGCAUACUUAAGUUUCUGCACAAACAAUUGCUACUACUCUGUUGUGUUUGGUUUGGUACUAUUGAUGUUAUUCUUUUUAGGAUUCCACUAUUAUUCUUUUUAUUCAUGAAAUAUGGCAGUUCCUUUUGGUUUGUUACUAUUGUUGUGUUUGGUUUGGUACUAUUGUUGUGUUUGGUACUAUUGAUAAGAUUUUGCUUGUGUUAGCAUUAUAAGAGAUAUUUGAUCAUAGCUUGAUUAUGAUUUGAGAUGAGGUUUAUUAUUGUUGUGAUUGGUUUGCAACUCCGAUGAUUACCGAUGGGUGGUAGUGCUAGUGCAUAUAUAUUGUGAAAAUGUAUAACUGAUAUGCAGUUGUGACUAAGGUUUGAUCUUUGAGUGCAGGCAAAAAGUGUCGCUUUUGUGCAGGAUAAAUGGCUAUUGGUGAACAUACAAUCUACCAAGGAAUUCAGCUCACAUAUGGUUAAGGCUAGAAUCCAAGGGGCUGAAGAGUUUGGUGAGUUUGAGGAAUGGUUCAAUUACAGGCUAUCGAGAGCAGCACAUGAAACAUGUGUUGAUUUCCUUAGAAGUUUCAUAGUUGAUAAAACUAACUCACAGUUCAUAAAAGGUGGAAAAUGGCUUGUUUAGAAGUUUGAGGUUAGGUGUUAUGCCUCAUAUUUCUAUUUCAUAUAUAAAUAGACAUAAAAUUACUUUUUAUAACUAUUUCAUUUAAGCGUCUUGCAAGGUGUAGACUCUUCUAGGCAAAAUGCGUUGAUCAUCAAGCAUAUCAUGCUCCAGAUAAUUACUUCUCUAAAGAAAAUUCAUGAUACUUGCAUCGUUCACAUAGAUAUAAAGCUAGCCAACUUAGUGGUUACUAAACGGGGGUAGAUUAAACUCGUUGAUUUUGGUG